rnacentral:rRNA from 1 species
UACGGGGGGAGCAAGCGUUGUUCGGAUCUACUGGGCGUAAAGGGCGCGUAGGCGGUCAGCACAAGUCAGUUGUGAAAUCUCCGGGCUUAACCCGGAAAGGUCAACUGAUACUGUGCGACUAGAGUGCGGAAGGGGCAACUGGAAUUCUCGGUGUAGCGGUGAAAUGCGUAGAUAUCGAGAGGAACACCUGCGGCGAAGGCGGGUUGCUGGGCCGACACUGACGCUGAUGCGCGAAAGCCAGGGGAGCGAACGGG